rnacentral:lncRNA from 1 species
UCAAGUGAUUCUCCUGCCUCAGCCUCCUGAGUAUCUGGGAUUACAGGCCAACCCUGCUUAUUCCUGUAAACCAACCAGUGAUCUCUGGCUGCUGCUUAGAAGAAACAAGAGGGAUGGCUAAUUAAACAGGUUGAAGUAAAGGAGCCAGCCCAAACCCACCAAAACCAAAAUGGUGACGAGAGUGACAUCUGGUCGUCCUCACUGCUACACUCCCACCAGCACCACGACAGUUUACAAAUUCUAUGACAAUGUCAGGAAGUUACCCUAUGUGGUCUAAAAAGAGGAGGCAUGAAUAAUCCACCCCUUGUUUAGCAUAUCAUCAAGAAAUAACCAUAAAAAUAGGCAAUCUGCAGCCCCCAGGCUGCUCUGUCUAUGGAGUAGCUGUUCUUUUUUUCUUUUACUUUCUUAAUAAACUUCCUUUCACUUUGC